ACGAUCUACAUAGAGUUACAAAACUUAAUGAUAGCAGAAGCUUUUGGGAAGAAGCGACAGAGAGGGUGAUAUCCCCGUAUGCGAAAUUGUUAAGUCUCUUGGUCGUAUCCUGAGUAGGGCGGGGCACGUGAAACCCUGUCUGAAUCUGCCGGGACCACCCGGUAAGGCUAAAUACUAAUCAGACACCGAUAGUGAACUAGUACCGUGAGGGAAAGGUGAAAAGAACCCCGAAAGGGGAGUGAAAUAGAUUCUGAAACCACUUACUUACAAUUAGUCAGAGCCCGUUUAUGGGUGAUGGCGUACAUCUUGCAGUAUGGACCGGCGAGUUACUUUAACAUGCGAGGUUAAGCGGAAAAAGCGGAGCCGUAGAGAAAUCGAGUCUUAAUAGGGCGCAUUAGUAUGUUGAAGUACACCCGAAACCAGGUGAUCUAUUCAUGAGCAGGCUGAAACUUGGCUAACCCCAAGUGGAGGGCCGAACCGUAGUACGCUGAAAAGUGCCCGGAUGACUUGUGAAUAGCGGAGAAAUUCCAAUCGAACUUGGAGAUAGCUGGUUCUCCUCGAAAUAGCUUUAGGGCUAGCGUGUGAUGUUAAGUUUUGGUGGUAGAGCACUGAAUAUGGAAUGGCGGCGCCUAGCUGUACUGACUAUAAUCAAACUCCGAAUACCAUUAUGUAUUGUCAUGCAGUCGGAACCGGGGUGCUAACGUCCCGGCUCGCGAGGGUAACAACCCAGAUCGUCGGCUAAGGUCCCAAAAUCGUGUUAAGUGAGAAAGGUUGUGAGAUUUCAUAAACAACUAGGAAGUUGGCUUAGAAGCAGCCACCUUUUAAAGAGUGCGUAAUAGCUCACUAGUCAAGAGGUCUUGCGCCAAUAAUUUAACGGGACUAAAACACGAUACCGAAGCCACGGGUACAUUUGUACGUUAGAGGAGCGUUCUUAGGGCAAUGAAGUCAGACCGUGAGGACUGGUGGAGCGCUAAGAAGUGAGAAUGCCGGUAUGAGUAACGAUUCGUAGUGAGAAUCUACGACGCCUAUUGGGGAAGGUUUCCUGGGCAAGGUUCGUCCACCCAGGGUUAGUCAGGACCUAAGGCGAGGCCGACAGGCGUAGUCGAUGGACAACAGGUUAAUAUUCCUGUACUUUCUUUAAAUGUGAUGGAGUGACGGAGAAGGAUAGCCUUACCACUUAUUGGAUUGUGGGGUAAGUUUUAACUGGGAGUUGUUGGCAAAUCCGCAACUCAUAACCGGGAGAAAUGACACAUAGCACGUCAAGUGCGAAUUAGGUGAUUUCAUACUUCCUAGAAAAGCUUCUAAACUUAAAUUUAAGGAAACCUGUACCGAGAACGGACACACGUCCCCAAGAUGAGUAUUCUAAGGCGAGCGAGAAAACUAGUGUUAAGGAACUCUGCAAAAUGACCCCGUAAGUUCGCGAGAAGGGGCGCCUAUGGUAACACAUAGGCCACAGUAAAUUAUGAGGGGCAACUGUUUAUCAAAAACACAGCUCUCUGCUAAACCGCAAGGUGAUGUAUAGGGGGUGAAGCCUGCCCAGUGCCCGAAGGUUAAGUGGAUGCGUUAGCUUUAUGCGAAGCGUUGAAAUGAAGCCCGGGUGAACGGCGGCCGUAACUAUAACGGUCCUAAGGUAGCGAAAUUCCUUGUCGGCUAAAUACUGACCUGCACGAAAGGCGCAAUGAUCUCUCAACUGUCUCAACACUAGACUCGGUGAAAUUAUGGUCCCAGUGAAAACGCUGGGUACCCGCAUCAAGACGAAAAGACCCCAUGGAGCUUUACUAUAACUUCGUAUUGAAAUUUGGUCUAACAUGUGUAGGAUAGGUGGGAGAUGCUGAUCUUAGGACGCCAGUUCUAAGGGAGUCAACCUUGAAAUACCACCCUUGUUAUAUUGAGUUUCUAACUUGCCAUCAUAAUCAGGUGGGAGGACAGUGCGUGGUGGGUAGUUUGACUGGGGCGGUCGCCUCCUAAAGAGUAACGGAGGCGUUCAAAGGUACACUCAAUACGGUCAGAAACCGUAUGCAGAGCGCAAAGGUAGAAGUGUGCUUGACUGUGAGACUUACAAGUCGAGCAGGUGCGAAAGCAGGACUUAGUGAUCCGGCUGUACAUUGUGGAAUGGCAGUCGCUCAACGGAUAAAAGUUACCCUGGGGAUAACAGGCUUAUCUUGCCCAAGAGAUCACAUCGACGGCAAGGUUU
rnacentral:rRNA from 1 species